UACGUAGGGGGCGAGCGUUGUCCGGAGUUACUGGGCGUAAAGGGUGCGCAGGCGGUGGCCCGCGUGGGCGGUGAAAGCUCCUGGCUCAACUGGGAGAGGGCCGUCCAGACGGGGUCACUUGAGGGGCGGAGAGGGGCGUGGAAUUCCGGGUGGAGCGGUGAAAUGCGUAGAGAUGUGGAGGAAUACCGAUGGCGAAGGCAGCCCCCUGGGCCAAUACUGACGCUCAUGCACGAAAGCGUGGGGAGCAAACAGG
rnacentral:rRNA from 1 species